GAAGGAUUCUGAAAGGUUGUUGCUAGCAGUUGCUCUUAAACCUGAUGGAAAAAAGAAUUGGAUGGUCUCUGAUCAGAAUGGGAUUACAACCUCUAUUAAGCCACAGCAAGUGACUUUUAUUGUUCCUGGUGCUGAAAAUUUUGAGCCCACAGAAAUAUCAGAAUUUGUACAGAAAGCUCAUGAUAACUUGGAUCCAGCACUGCUUGAAUUUGCAUGGAAUGAGCUACUUGAGAAAAAUGAAUCAGUAACAGUUCAAGAAUUAGCUGAGAUGAUUUUUGGUAGUGCGGAG
rnacentral:misc_RNA from 1 species